GGCCCGUUGGUCAAGCGGUUAAGACACCGCCCUUUCACGGCGGUAACAUGGGUUCGAGUCCCGUACGGGUCACCA
rnacentral:tRNA from 1 species